GUCUACGGCCAUACCACCCUGAACGCGCCCGAUCUCGUCUGAUCUCGGAAGCUAAGCAGGGUCGGGCCUGGUUAGUACUUGGAU
rnacentral:rRNA from 1 species